UGCAAGUCGAGCGAAUGGAUUAAGAGCUAUCUCUUAUGAAGUUAGCGGCGGACGGGUGAGUAACACGUGGAUUGCUGUACAUAAGACUGGGAUAACUCCGGGAAACCGGGGCUAAUACCGGAUAACAUUUUGAACCGCAUGGUUCGAAAUUGAAAGGCGGCUUCGGCUGUCACUUAUGGAUGGACCCGCGUCGCAUUAGCUAGUUGGUGAGGUAACGGCUCACCAAGGCAACGAUGCGUAGCCGACCUGAGAGGGUGAUCGGCCACACUGGGACUGAGACACGGCCCAGACUCCUACGGGAGGCAGCAGUAGGGAAUCUUCCGCAAUGGACGAAAGUCUGACGGAGCAACGCCGCGUGAGUGAUGAAGGCUUUCGGGUCGUAAAACUCUGUUGUUAGGGAAGAACAAGUGCUAGUUGAAUAAGCUGGCACCUUGACGGUACCUAACCAGAAAGCCACGGCUAACUACGUGCCAGCAGCCGCGGUAAUACGUAGGUGGCAAGCGUUAUCCGGAAUUAUUGGGCGUAAAGCGCGCGCAGGUGGUUUCUUAAGUCUGAUGUGAAAGCCCACGGCUCAACCGUGGAGGGUCAUUGGAAACUGGGAGACUUGAGUGCAGAAGAGGAAAGUGGAAUUCCAUGUGUAGCGGUGAAAUGCGUAGAGAUAUGGAGGAACACCAGUGGCGAAGGCGACUUUCUGGUCUGUAACUGACACUGAGGCGCGAAAGCGUGGGGAGCAAA
rnacentral:rRNA from 1 species